rnacentral:rRNA from 1 species
UACGUAGGGUGCUAGCGUUAAUCGGAAUUACUGGGCGUAAAGCGUGCGCAGGCGGUUUUGUAAGCCAGAUGUGAAAUCCCCGGGCUUAACCUGGGAAUGGCAUUUGGGACUGCAAGGCUCGAGUGCGGCAGAGGAGACUGGAAUUCCUGGUGUAGCAGUGAAAUGCGUAGAUAUCAGGAGGAACACCGAUGGCGAAGGCAGGUCUCUGGGCUGACACUGACGCUCAUGCACGAAAGCGUGGGGAGCAAACAGG